rnacentral:rRNA from 1 species
GAUGAACGCUGGCGGCGUGCCUAAUACAUGCAAGUCGAGCGAACGGACGAGAAGCUUGCUUCUCUGAUGUUAGCGGCGGACGGGUGAGUAACACGUGGAUAACCUACCUAUAAGACUGGGAUAACUUCGGGAAACCGGAGCUAAUACCGGAUAAUAUUUUGAACCGCAUGGUUCAAAAGUGAAAGACGGUCUUGCUGUCACUUAUAGAUGGAUCCGCGCUGCAUUAGCUAGUUGGUAAGGUAACGGCUUACCAAGGCAACGAUGCAUAGCCGACCUGAGGGGGGGAUCGGCACCCCAGGAGAGGGGGAGAGCGCCCACACCGAGGGGGAGACAGGAGUGGGAAUCCUUCGGGAAGGGGCAAAAGCUAAUAGGGCAAACGCGGGGGGAGUGUGAAGGGGCUUCGGAGCGUAAAUCCCGGUUUUGUGGGAAAAAAAAAGGGUUAAGAAAAGGGAAGAUAUUGACGGUACCUGAAUAAGAAAGCCCGGCUAAAUACGUG